rnacentral:rRNA from 1 species
GACGAACGCUGGCGGCGUGCUUAACACAUGCAAGUCGAACGGAAAGGCCCUGCUUUUGUGGGGUGCUCGAGUGGCGAACGGGUGAGUAACACGUGAGUAACCUGCCCUUGACUUUGGGAUAACUUCAGGAAACUGGGGCUAAUACCGGAUAGGAGCUCCUGCUGCAUGGUGGGGGUUGGAACGUUUCGGCGGUUGGGGAUGGACUCGCGGCUUAUCAGCUUGUUGGUGGGGUAGUGGCUUACCAAGGCUUUGACGGGUAGCCGGCAUGAGAGGGUGACCGGCGACAUUGGGACUGAGAGACGGCCCAGACUCCUACGGGAGGCAGCAGUGGGGAAUAUUGCACAAUGGGCGGAAGCCUGAUGCAGCAACGCCGCGUGCGGGAUGACGGCCUUCGGGUUGUAAACCGCUUUCGCCUGUGACGAAGCGUGAGUGACGGUAAUGGGUAAAGAAGCACCGGCUAACUACGUG